GUCCUUGCAUGCAGAGCUCUGGCUAUAUUUGUUCCAUCAAAAGGUUCUUCCAAGCAGAUGAACUUAUUUCACCACUCAAUGCCAUCAGGCCUCCGGAUGGCUUUGGGUUCAUGAACUGAAAUCAUUUGACUGUUCCAGUCAAAUUCUGUAGCAUAAUAUUUAAGAAAGUCUAGCAAGAGGUCUUCAAGAAUUGAUUCAUUCUUUGAGAGCAAUAUUUACAUUCAAAUCAAAUUCCACACAACUGACUUCAUCCCUAAACUCCACAACUGGCACUUUUGCACAAAUCAGCUGCGGUCUCUCAAUUUACCCAGAGAGUCUGGAACAGAAGUGUUUAUGGACUAAGGUUAUUGAGGAGCUUCAUGACAGACUUGUUUUGCCACAAAGGACACGGACUAUGAAGAUCCUUUAGUAAUGGCAUCUACAUGGCUUUUAAAUUGAAGACUGCAGCUUUUGAAAAGAGAAAAAACAUUUUAAGCAGUAAAUAGAUAAUAUACAAUUUCACAGAUAAUUCACUUCUGAUUUGGUUUCCAUACAUUAUCUGCUAAAGUUUAUGUUAAUACAGAAUCAGAAAUCAUGAACAAGGUUGUUUCUAAAUUGUAGUAAAACCUAGAAAAAUUAUUUCUUGAUUGGCAAACUGAUUUUCUGUCCUUGUUUUUUUUCUAAGUAAUAAAAGGCAACCAACAGAAAGAAACCUAGAUGAU
rnacentral:lncRNA from 1 species